UGAGUCUGGGAUUUCUGAAUGGGGAAACCCACUUACAUAAGUAAGUAUCAUUAACUGAAUACAUAGGUUAAUGAGGCGAACCGGGGGAACUGAAACAUCUAAGUACCCCGAGGAAAAGAAAUCAACCGAGAUUCCGAAAGUAGCGGCGAGCGAAAUUGGACUAGCCCUUAAGCUUUACACGCGUUAGACGAACGGUCUGGAAAGUCCGACGAUACAGGGUGAUAGUCCCGUAGUUGACGACGUGUGUUCAGUGAAAUCGAGUAGGGCGGGACACGUGAUAUCCUGUCUGAAUAUGGGGGGACCAUCCUCCAAGGCUAAAUACUACUGACUGACCGAUAGUGAACCAGUACCGUGAGGGAAAGGCGAAAAGAACCCCUGUGAGGGGAGUGAAAUAGAACCUGAAACCGUGUACGUACAAGCAGUAGGAGCAGGCUUGUCCUGUGACUGCGUACCUUUUGUAUAAUGGGUCAGCGACUUAUAUUCAGUGGCAAGGUUAACCAUCUAGGGGAGCCGUAGGGAAACCGAGUCUUAACUGGGCGUUCAGUCUCUGGAUAUAGACCCGAAACCAGGUGAUCUAGCCAUGGGCAGGUUGAAGGUUGAGUAACAUCAACUGGAGGACCGAACCGACUAAUGUUGAAAAAUUAGCGGAUGACUUGUGGCUAGGGGUGAAAGGCCAAUCAAACCUGGAGAUAGCUGGUUCUCCCCGAAAGCUAUUUAGGUAGCGCCUCGGACGAAUACUACUGGGGGUAGAGCACUGUUAAGGC
rnacentral:rRNA from 1 species